rnacentral:rRNA from 1 species
AUUGAACGCUGGCGGCAUGCCUUACACAUGCAAGUCGAACGGUAACACGGGGCAACCUGGCGACGAGUGGCGAACGGGUGAGUAAUGCAUCGGAACGUGCCCAGUAGUGGGGGAUAGCCCGGCGAAAGCCGGAUUAAUACCGCAUACGACCUAUGGGUGAAAGCGGGGGAUCGCAAGACCUCGCGCUAUUAGAGCGGCCGAUGUCAGAUUAGGUAGUUGGUGGGGUAAAGGCUCACCAAGCCGACGAUCUGUAGCUGGUCUGAGACGGACGACCAGCCACACUGGGACUGAGACACGGCCCAGACUCCUACGGGAGGCAGCAGUGGGGAAUUUUGGACAAUGGGCGCAAGCCUGAUCCAGCCAUUCCGCGUGCAGGAUGAAGGCCU